GAUGAACGCUGGCGGCGUGCCUAACACAUGCAAGUCGAACGGAGAUUACGGACGGAAGUUUUCGGAUGGAAGACUGUAAUUCUUAGUGGCGGACGGGUGAGUAACGCGUGGGCAACCUGCCCUAUACAGGGGGAUAGCAGCUGGAAACGGCUGGUAAGACCGCAUAAGUCGGUUAAAUCGCAUGAUUUGAUCGGGAAAUGAGCAAUCAGGUAUAGGAUGGGCCCGCGUCCGAUUAGCCAGUUGGCAGGGUAAAAGCCUACCAAAGCGACGAUCGGUAGCCGGACUGAGAGGUCGGACGGCCACAUUGGGACUGAGACACGGCCCAAACUCCUACGGGAGGCAGCAGUGGGGGAUAUUGCACAAUGGAGGAAACUCUGAUGCAGCGACGCCGCGUGAGUGAAGAAGUAUUUCGGUAUGUAAAGCUCUAUCAGCAGGGAAGAUGAUGACGGUACCUGACUAAGAAGCCCCGGCUAACUACGUA
rnacentral:rRNA from 1 species